GUAGUCUCGCACAGAUGCAUAUCAAUAAGCGGAGGAAAAGAAACUAACAAGGAUUCCCCUAGUAACGGCGAGUGAAGCGGGAAGAGCUCAAAUUUGAAAUCUUAAAGGGUUUCCCUUUACGAAUUGUAGUUUAAAGAAGUGUUUUCUGUUGAGGUUUUGGUAAAAGUUCUUUGGAAUAGGACAUCAUAGAGGGUGAGAAUCCCGUAUUUGACCUUUACUUUCAACUUUGUGAUACACUUUCAAAGAGUCGGAUUGUUUGGGAAUGCAGUCCAAAAUGGGUGGUAAAUUUCAUCUAAAGCUAAAUAUUGGCGAGAGACCGAUAGCGAACAAGUACCGUGAGGGAAAGAUGAAAAGAACUUUGAAAAGAGAGUUAAACAGUACGUGAAAUUGUCAAAAGGGAAGCGUUUGACACCAGUGUUGUUUUUCCUGAAAAUCAAUUAAAGAACUGUUUAUGCUAAGUUGUUUAGACUUUAUCAGCUAUCUGUUUAGUUUUGAGCUUUUCUUUAAUGCACCUUUCAGUUAACAAGUCAACAUCAAUUUCUUUUGCUGUAAAAAAGCUUGAGGAAGGUGGCUUGAGAUUCGUCCUUAAGUGUUUAUAGCCUCUUGCCUAUGCAGUCGGAGAGAUUGAGGUCUGCAGCGUAGAUCCUUCGGGGCUAAAUGCAUUUGUGCUAAGUUAUAGCAUUUUAUAGACAACUUGUUGACUAUGAUUUGUCUUGUAGCUUACUCGCUUAUGUUAUUUUACCUACGCUUAGGAUGUUGACGCAUGAGAUAUACGC
rnacentral:rRNA from 1 species